CCACCCUCCUCAGUCUGGGUCCCCCCCCCACCCGGUCCACCCUCCUCAGUCAGGUGCGCUCCUUCACCUCUCAGUCAGCCAGCAGGUCUUAUGUUCGCUCCGAAUCGGUACCAGGUCACUUUAAAGUCCCAAGUUUCCCUGUGACCGUGCAGAAGAAGAAGUAACGCCAGUUCUAGAAAAUCUGGAUCAACAUAAAAGUGGAUCUGAUGACUGAAACUGAGAAACUAGAGGAGAUACACCAGUCUGAUUCCUUCCUGAUGCUAGCUUUCACAGGAGACGAAAGCGAAGUGGUGUGUUUAACAUCAUUAUUUGAUCAAUCCUCACAUUAUACUUCUAUAUGUGGCUCACAGAGCAAAGACAAGUGAGGGUUAAUAAAUAGUGUGAGGUGUGCUUUUUUUUAUGAUACUUUAAAAAAUGUUUACACUAUUUUAUAAACGAUGACACGUACAUUUUUCACCCAUGAAUUUAUAUUGAAUCACCUGUGUGAAUUUUGUAGAGAAUGAAGCUGUGGUUCCCUGCUAAACUUUAAAUGCUAUAAUUGUAUUGAAGAUGCAAGAAUUCAGGUGCUAAACAGUGUUUCUCACGGACUGAGGAAGUGUGAACAACGGUUCUGCGUGGUCCUUGCAUUGCGUGAACGUGGAAUCAUAAUUAGCAUAAUGGCGGCAUGAUAUCACCACUUUAAUGCAACGUUUUCUAUCGAUGCCAUAGUGAUUCAUAUGGACGCUGUUGUUUGAAUCAAUGUCUUUGCGUUGUGCAGUCAUCUGAGCGGUCGUGUUCAAGAGCCAUUUUAUGUAACUGAUGGUGUUCUUUCAAAAGUUGAUGACCCAGGUAUUACGUUUAUUCUUCUUUGGGAUGGAUUAGGACGACGUGUUUUCUUUCGCUUUCGUUCCGCUGAAAUAAAUAUAUUCCAACGGUUCCUUUUUUUAAAUACAUUUUGUUUAUCAAGAUAAAGAGCAUGAAUGCGAAGGCACAUAAGGCUUUUCUCCCAAGAGGAUUCAGCGAGAGUGAAGAGUUACAUUGAUAGUCGGACAGUGAUCAUUCACAGGAGACGAGGGGUGAUGUGUGAAACAUCAUUUUUUGAUCAACCCUCACAUUAUUCUUCUAUCUGUGGCUCUCACAUUAUUCUUCUAUCUGUGGCUCACACAGUGUGCUGGCGAAAUAUGUAACUGCAUCCAUGGUUUUAGUUUGGAUGUAUGACAACGUUUUUAUUCUAGAUUUUUUUAGGCAGCUAGACUCAGAAAAUGUCAUUUCUGUUGUUUUUUUUGUUUUUAUUUAUUUUUUGAAAUGGUUGAAACCUGUUAUAUACUGGAUAUGGGUUCAAUGUUUCCCCCAGAAAAUGUCUUAGUCAUAGGCAUCAAGGAAAUAAAGGCAUUCAAACUUGAAACUGAUCCUAUUCAUUUCUUUUGAGUUCUGAGUUUUUAUCGGUUAAAAAAAACUGCUCUGAAGGAUUUCGAAGACAUGAACGGUCGCUGUCGGGA
ensembl:lncRNA